AACCGGGGGAACUGAAACAUCUAAGUACCCCGAGGAAAAAAAAUCAACCGAGAUUCCCCCAGUAGCGGCGAGCGAACGGGGAGCAGCCCAGAGUCUGAAUCAGCUUGUGUGUUAGUGGAACGGUCUGGAAAGUCCGACGGUACAGGGUGAUAGUCCCGUACACCAAAAUGCACAGGCUGUGAACUCGAAGAGUAGGGCGGGACACGUGGUAUCCUGUCUGAAUAUGGGGGGACCAUCCUCCAAGGCUAAAUACUCCUGACUGACCGAUAGUGAACCAGUACCGUGAGGGAAAGGCGAAAAGAACCCCGGCGAGGGGAGUGAAAAAGAACCUGAAACCGUGUACGUACAAGCAGUGGGAGCACCUUCGGGUGUGACUGCGUACCUUUUGUAUAAUGGGUCAGCGACUUAUAUUCUGUAGCAAGGUUAACCGUAUAGGGGAGCCGCAGGGAAACCGAGUCUUAACUGGGCGUUAAGUUGCAGGGUAUAGACCCGAAACCCGGUGAUCUAGCCAUGGGCAGGUUGAAGGUUGGGUAACACUAACUGGAGGACCGAACCGACUAAUGUUGAAAAAUUAGCGGAUGACUUGUGGCUGGGGGUGAAAGGCCAAUCAAACCGGGAGAUAGCUGGUUCUCCCCGAAAGCU
rnacentral:rRNA from 1 species